CAGCGCUGUCCGGCCCUCGGCCGCUGGCCCUGCAGGGAGAAAACCGGGCAGUGGCCAGGAAUCCGAGUGUGCAGCGGCCAAGGUCAGAGUGUGGGCACUCACAUCUUCCCCGCGCCUCCCGCUAGCUCUGCUGCUUCACCUCUCCGUGCCUCGGUUUCUCCACCUAGGUUACGGCAGUAACACCUCUUAACAGGUCUCCCAGCUGCCACUACUGCCCUCCUGGGGGCGGGCCCGCCCCGAAAGCCAUCAGAUCAUGAACCUCCUCUGCCCCGAACCCCGCUGCGCUCCCACCUCACUCGGAGCCCAGCCUGAAGCUCCACACGGCCAGGCCGGAGAAACCCAGCGCUGCAUGCGGAGUGCCUUGCACACACCAGUGGGGUGCCCCCCGCUGAGGGCACCCCCCAUUGUCCACGAUGACCCCCUCAGGAUGUUCCUCCAAGAGAAUGGUGGGAGCGUCAGGAGGCAGGGCAAGUUGGGGAGACUUUCUGUGCGGCUCUGGGAAAAUCUUCCUGGAUGGCACCAGCGCAAGCAUUUUCCAGACUUCUCAGAUAAGAAUUUGUCAAAAACAAAUUGCCAGGCGGGUCCCAGAAGCACUGAAUCAGCACCUCCAGGAAACAGACUAGGAAGCUGCGUUUUGACCCAGAGCCUCCGGGAAGUUGGGAAAUUCCCCACUGGCAGUGAACCUGGCUGAACUUCCGACAGCACCUGGAGAGCGGUGAAAAGCUGCGGGUGCCCAGGACCAGUCCAGAGAGCUGACCCCGCACAGUUGGUGUUUUCCGUAUUUUUCUAAACGUCCUGGGGAUUCUGAUGUAGCCACUUCAGGAGUGCCAUCUGGAAGGGACGGGGCUGGAUAAUUGAAGGAGACUUCUUGCUCUCACAUCCUAAGGGCAUUUGGGAUUGCAACCCCACAACUACAGCCGGCAGCUGACCCAUGGUGGGGACCUUGGUGGCUGAAACCAGCACCCCCCAGUGCCAGCAGCGAGUAUUGCAGGUUCCAGUCUAGAACGGCGCCGGGUGCAUCUGGCUGGUGGGGCAGCGCUGACCCUGCAGUGGGAUGGAAGGGAGCAGGGGCCAUGGCUGCAUCUGUGCUGAUGGAACCUGCAUUAUGAUCCAGCCCUUCACACGAGUUGACCCACAGCUCAUGCCAAAGAGAAAACAACAACCAGGUGAGUGUGUG